GACAUAGGUGGCGAACGUUAUCCGGAUUUAUUGGGCGUAAAGGAUGCGUAGAUGGUGGAAUAAGUUAUUGGUCAAAGUCAAGCUCAACUUGGCGGAAGCUGGUAAUACUAUUCUACUCGAGGAUAGGAGAGGUUGGCGGAAUUCUGUGUGGAGCGGUGAAAUGCGUUGAUCUACAGAGGAACACCAAAAAGGCGGAAGGCAGCCAACUAUUCUAUUCCUGACAUUGAGG
rnacentral:rRNA from 1 species